rnacentral:rRNA from 1 species
GACGAACCGAGCGAACGUUGUUCGGAAUCACUGGGCUUAAAGGGCGCGUAGGCGGGCUGUCAAGUCUGGGGGUGAAAUCCCGCGGCUCAACCGUGGAACUGCCUCAGAUACUGACGGCCUCGAGGGAGGUAGGGGCGAGCGGAACGGAUGGUGGAGCGGUGAAAUGCGUUGAUAUCAUCCGGAACUCCGGUGGCGAAGGCGGCUCGCUGGACCUCUUCUGGACGCUGAGGCGCGAAAGCUAGGGGGAGCAAACGGG